rnacentral:rRNA from 1 species
UACGUAGGGUGCGAGCGUUGUCCGGAUUUAUUGGGCGUAAAGAGCGUGUAGGCGGCCUUACAGGUCAGCUGUGAAAACUCGAGGCUCAACCUCGAGACGUCGGUUGAAACCGUAAGGCUAGAGUCCGGAAGAGGAGAGUGGAAUUCCCGGUGUAGCGGUGAAAUGCGCAGAUAUCGGGAAGAACACCCGUGGCGAAGGCGGCUCUCUGGGACGGUACUGACGCUGAGACGCGAAAGCGUGGGGAGCGAACAGG